CUAGGCCUAGGCUAUAUUUCAUUUUCUUUUGUACUUUUUUUUUAAUUGUUGAAGGGAAACAAAAAGCAGAGACAAGACCGUUUUUGCAAUCAACGUUACAGUUUUUUUUUAAUCUGGGGAUGGAUGGCUGAGUUGGACACGUUCUGGAUCCACACGACCUUAGAUGAAGCCAGCUGCAACCCGUAGAGUGGAGUCGUGGAGAGAGCCCCUCGCCCCUCAGCUAAACCAGAGUAAAUGAAGCCAGCACCAACCUGUGGAGUGGAGUCCAGGAGAGAGCAUGCCGCCCCUCAGCUAAACCAGAUCAGAUAAAGCCAACUGGAACCAUAUUUUUACAUAUUUUAUAUUAAAUAUAUUGAAUAAAACUACAUAUGAUAAAGAAAGUGUUAUCUUAUCUUUUUUAUAUGCUAAACUUGAUUAAAUUGGUGAUUACAUGUUGAAGCUGUAGAAGAAUGAAAAAUGUAAGCUAAACAAAAUUGUUUUUAACUACAUAAUUAAAAUUCCUGCCUUUUACACAUGUUCACUUGGCGUUUAUAUAACAUCCAAAUGUCAUUUCUCAGCUUAAUUAUCAGGCAGGCUCAUAGACUUACAGCAAUGUAAUUUCUUCAGGAAGGCACAAGGCUAAGCUCUGCACAAUGAAUUGCAUCAGCAAGAACUUUCUGACUGUAGCUUACACUCCAAAUAGUAUGCCUUUGGCCAGCACAAAGACAGAUAAGAGAACAGGGAACAUUCCAUCGCGA